CCUACGGGAGGCAGCAGUGAGGAAUAUUGGUCAAUGGGCGCGAGCCUGAACCAGCCAAGUCGCGUGAGGGAAGACGGUCCUAUGGAUUGUAAACCUCUUUUGUCGGGGAGCAAAAGACGCCACGCGUGGCGUUCCGAGAGUACCCGAAGAAAAAGCAUCGGCUAACUCCGUGCCAGCAGCCGCGGUAAUACGGAGGAUGCGAGCGUUAUCCGGAUUUAUUGGGUUUAAAGGGUGCGCAGGCGGAAGAUCAAGUCAGUGGUAAAAUUGAGAGGCUCAACCUCUUCGAGCCGUUGAAACUGGUGUUCUUGAGUGAGUGAGAAGUAUGCGGAAUGCGUGGUGUAGCGGUGAAAUGCAUAGAUAUCACGCAGAACUCCGAUUGGGAAGGCAGCAUACCGGCGCUCAACUGACGCUCAUGCACGAAAGUGUGGGUAUCGAACAGGAUUAGAUACCCCAGUAGUC
rnacentral:rRNA from 1 species